GGCCUCGUAGCUCAGUUAGCUAGUGUUGGCUGGUGUGGGUUCGAAUCCCACCGAGGCCG
rnacentral:tRNA from 1 species